UCAGGAUGAACGCUAGCGGCAGGCUUAACACGAUGCAAGUCGAGGGGCAUCGGGAGUAGCAAUACUGCCGGCGACCGGCGCAAGGGUGCGUAACGCGUGAGCAACAUGCCCGUAUCAGGGGGAUAAUCCAUGGAAACGUGGUCUAAUACCCCAUAGUAAUUAUGUAAGGCAUCUUAUAUAAUUUAAAGCUUUGGUGGAUACGGAUUGGCUCGCGUGACAUUAGCUGGAUGGUAAGGUAACGGCUUACCAUGGCUACGAUGUCUAGGGGUUCUGAGAGGAAGGUCCCCCCACACUGGAACUGAGACACGGUCCAGACUCCUACGGGAGGCAGCAGUGAGGAAUAUUGGACAAUGGAUGGAAAUCUGAUCCAGCCAUGCCGCGUGCAAGGAAGACGGCCCUAUGGGUUGUAAACUGCUUUUGUAUGGGAGCAAUAAGGGCUACGUGUAGUCCGAUGAGAGUACCAUACGAAUAAGCACCGGCUAACUCCGUGCCAGCCGCAGC
rnacentral:rRNA from 1 species